rnacentral:rRNA from 1 species
UACGUAGGGGGCUAGCGUUGUCCGGAAUCAUUGGGCGUAAAGAGCGUGUAGGCGGUCCGGUAAGUCCGCUGUGAAAGUCGGGGGCUCAACCCUCGAAUGCCGGUGGAUACUGUCGGGCUAGAGUGCGGAAGAGGCGAGUGGAAUUCCUGGUGUAGCGGUGGAAUGCGCAGAUAUCAGGAGGAACACCUAUUGCGAAGGCAGCUCGCUGGGACGUAACUGACGCUGAGACGCGAAAGCGUGGGGAGCAAACAGG